AUAAUGUUAAUUCAAAAUUGAUUUCUGCUUUUGUUGGGCCAUUUGUGAUUGAUAGAUUUUUGGGAGACAACACGGUCCUAUUGCGUAACCCUUCUGGUUCUAGAAAAUAUAAAAAGGCCCAUGUGGGUCAAUUAAAGAAAUUUCAUCAAUAACCUUUUUUUUUCUUUUAUUUGGACUUAGUUUUUUUUGUUGUUGUUUGGGUGUUCGUGUUUCCUUCUCUUUCUUUUUUUUUCUUUCCUCCCACCGAUGCUCCCGCCACGCCCAGAAGAGGACUUCGCGCCGCAGCGCACCCGACGCUCCUCGCCCUGCCCGAGAUAGCGUGACCGCAGCCACCCGCCGGGUUCGUCGUGUCUGCAAGGUCACUUGCUUGCUGGGACGUUGGUCGCCGUCACGUCACCGAUGAGGAGCGGUGGCAUGGAGUCGCCGCCGUCUCCUGCCCGUGAGGGGCCGUGACGCGUGCGGAGACUGACUCUCCUGCAGCGGCCGCUUCGGAUGGCCCUGCCUGCCAGGCGCCGAGCGUGGGCAGGCGGUGGGGACGCCCGCCGUUCUCGCCCUGGUGUCGCGCUGGGGGAAGGCAUGCUGUUCCUGCUACUCUGGGAUGAAGAAGAUGCUGUCCGAAUUUGAAAUUAUUAGGGACGUCCCGUACUCUAAACUUUCUCUUCAGCGCUGAAGAGUUUUUAUUUCAGUGGCAGUGGAAACGCUGAAGACUCUUUAUUUCUGUGGAUACACUGAGAAUCCUUACUAGGUGUCUUACACGAAAAAUUAUGCCAGUCAUGAACUCACUUCAAGAAAUUGUUAUUUAGAAACAUUGGUUGUAUUUGUAUACACAUAGACAUGUGUUGAACUCACUUCAAGACAUUGUUAUUUAGAAACAUUGUUUGUAUUCGUAUACACAGAGAAAUGUGUUGAACUCACUUCAAGAAUUCGUCAGUUAGAUAUCAAGAAAUUGUUAUUUAGAAACAUUUGUUUGUAUUUGUACACACAUAGAAUUGUGUUGACUUGACAUUUGAGUUACUUCAAGAGUUGUGACCGGACCUGCAGUUCCUCGUGUCCUUGUGACUUGGUUGGCGAGGCUCGCGGUUGCGUUCGUCAAGGGUGGGGGAGUUGAAGUGGUCGGUGCGCGUCACUUGAAUUUCGCACCGCGCGGCGGACUUCGGCGCUCCUUCCCUUCCUACUUUCCCCCUCCUCUCUGCGUCCAGUGCUGUGUUUGUCUUCCCCUCGUGAGGUGUCCGCGCAUGCGCGUGGCGCCCUCUUGCUUAAUUAAAACUAGGUGUAAUGCCUUGAUGGCUCUUCUUGUUCGUCAGCAGUCAGUCGGUGCUGGUCGUGAAUUAAGCAUGUAGUCAGAUACUUGCUUUAGAGAGAGAGUGUGUGACAGCGGGGAGAAUCCACGUAAGUGUUGUAAGGUGGUGACCCUUACAGUAAUGUAAACGGUACUUGGUAAUAGCCGUACUAUAAAUUCCAUUUCGGCCGUCUCCGUCUAAAUUCUAUUUGGCACUUAUUGUUUUCCUUGAUCGUUUUUGUAUUAAUACCAUGCAUAGUUUGUUUGACGUUUCUCCCCGUCUGGUCUACAGUCUUCGUUAGGACUUGUUUUUUACGUAAUGUAUUUAAUGUAUUAAUUUGUGAAUUUUCCUUUUAUAUCAUGCCUUAUCAUGCUUUACAGUAAGCUUAUACCGCCUAGUGUAGGUUAGGCCGCGGUCGCCUGCAUGUUCAUUUGACGUUUUUGUAUUCUCUAAUGAGGCAUGUUAGUGUUCAUUAUCCUUGUGUGUAAGCGUUAAUACGUAAUUGUAAAAUUUCUUUCAAGUAUUUAUCAAGUUAAUAUUAUGUAUUCAAUCAAGCAUUUAAUCCUAAAGAAAAUAUAGAUAUGCGUUCACGUAUUUUGCCGUGGCAUGUGUACUAGCACUAUCAGUAUUAAGCAAGUAUUAAUUAUAUGUGAAAGAAUGAUGUAUUUGUAUGAUAACCACGUGAGGCCUUUGCCCAUGAUUAAACGAACUAAGUUAAUGUAACUAUUUGCUACUUCAACCUUUGCAUCCAUCCUUGGCUAUAAUUGUUAGAUUACCUCUUUGAAAACCUUUUAUUCAGCAUAAUUUAUUCAGUAUUUUUAGGAUAGUGUUACACGCAGUUGAAGGUUCACGUGAAUGUACUUCACCUGUUUACACUGUCCCAUGAAGCUCAUGGAAGCCUUCAAUAUGCGUGUAAUAAAAAAAAUCACUUUUAAAAAUAAAAUACAUGCAUUGAUAAGGUUGAAAAUACACAAGAAUGCCGCUGAUAAAUACAUAGUAGUCUGAUGGUUAUUUUAAACCUUCGUUUUAUCGCAUUUUAAACACAAAGCAUUUCCUCCAAACAUUUAGUGACUUUUAGGUUAGGCCUACUCCCCACCCUCGUUGGUGGCUAGGUUUGCUCCUGCUGUAUCGCAUAUUGAAACGUAAUUUAUUCACCUAAGAUUCGCUCAAAUACUUUCAGUAUGAUAAAAUGGUAACAAUGUAGGAAUAAUAGUGUUUCACGUAGAGUUGAGAGGUUUCGUGUUUAUAGUUCAUACGAAAAUUGUAAUUUGUGAGAGGAGCGGCUUAUGUGAAAAGAAAGUAAUUAAUUCCGUUAAAGGGUAUUUUUAGUUCCUAUACUCUUCUGGUAGUUAUAAAAUGCAGACACAAUAUUGUCAAAUACAGUUUACGUAAUAAAUUAUAUUCAGGCAUUUAAUUAACAACACCGACUUCCUGUUAUAUUGUUUCAAGCUUGCAAGAUGCUAAAUAAAUAUUAUCAGCGUAUUCACCCAAUACAUAUGCUACGGUACAAAAUAGUGUGAAUAAAACUUGUAGUGCACUAGAAAAUAUGCUAUGAACAAGUCUAAGGAUAAUGUAAUUAAAUAUAACAGUAGUAUUUUUUGAACAGUGGGACGUAUAGCACACCGAGUUGUUUUGGUACCUUCAAAUCGGCAAAUUAACUUUAACGGUGACGAAAAUUACAAAAUAAUAAUGAAAUCAGGUCUAGUAUUGUAAUGUUUCACGUCGAAUCACAAAAGUGUUUGAAAAUUCUUUUUUCAUCAUAUGAUUUUAAGUAAUAAUAACUGACCAUUGAAAACAAAAUUAAUAAUAACGAGCAACACAUUCCACAAGAUCGCUAAAUAAUAUUUUCAUAUUAAAAACUACAAACUUUCACAUUUUCUAAUGCACUCCAUAACAUUCUUAUAUACUAUUUAAUAAUUAUAACCGACUUUGCUAUGUAAAAUGAUUUUAGUAUAUUUUGAGACUGAGACGUGACGGGUGUUUUACUGAGCAAAACAGUCUGUAAAACUUAUAUUUACGGAACGCCAACAGGCGUACAAUGAAAAAUGAUAUAAAUAUUGAAUAUAGUUAUGGAAAAUAUAUAAUUCGAUAGUCACAUCAUGCCUAAGUUUUACGAAUGUCCACAAUCUUGUUUUCGUGUAGGUAGUUUUCUAUUGGCUGUAAAUUGCUAGCAGAUACACCAACUGCCAAAUAAAACACAUCCUUUCUGUAAAUUCACUGCCAACCUCUGCAUAUUAUCGAUUGCCAAGCCGUCGUGGUAAGGCGCCUUAGCGAUGACGGGAGAUAUAUGACGAUGGGAUCCGUGCUCGCAUUUUCACGCGGCCGUCAUAACUCCGCCGUCAUACCAGCGACGCGUCGCACAGUGGGAGAUUUGCCCGAAAACGUGGUCAAAAUGCAAAUCACGAACUUAAAAUCCCAACCAAACUGGCGAUGUGGUAGUAAUGUUAGAUCAUCCCUGUAUGGGAAACCGGAUAUGGCAAUGAGAAAUUCCCACAUCCUAAGGUUUCACGGCAGUUGACAAGUGAGGGUCGAGUGCGUUGGGCGGACCUAAUUAUCUUGAAGAUAAUUCCGUGCUGUACUAAAGUGAAUGUCGCGGCCGUAAAAACUGAUAUUUUUUAGUUCUGAAAAAUGGAUGCAAUUCCUAUAGGUAUGGCGUCUAUAUCACUGCCUUAUUUUGUUAUAUAUAAAGCUGCAAUGUUUUUUGUUUUAUUUUCUAAUGCGACUUUGUGAACAUAAUGAAAAUUUAGUUUUAUCAUAUUACAUCGAGGCUUUUAGUUGGGUAUGCCACAUUAUGCACCUUUCUUUCGAAAUAGGGCGUUUAUUUUAUUGUUUUAGUAAUACGAAUUUACAAUAACUAGCUGUUAAUAUGUGCUACCCUUUGUGUACGAUAUUAUUUCCUUAAUUGCUGCACUGGUGGCGACUCCCUGAGGCUAUGGCGGGCCUAAGCCGACCCAUCAUUGUCGACAAUGUGCAUAGCCUGUCCAAUACCAGAUACCUUUUUUCUUAUUCCUUCAUAAGCUUCACUAAUUGUCAGUUCAUUCUCGACAUCGUCAUCGAUGUCUGUUAAAGUCUGGAGAAGUUUAUUAGUGGUGGUCUAGCCUUUCAGAAAUCUUUGAUGAAAACCAUAUGUAGUGUUGGUAUAGUGAGAUUUUUUAUUGAUACGGAAUUUUUUACUACUGGUAAGAAACAAAUAUAAAGUCCUUCAAAGUUGUUCACUAAGGACAAUUGUUUUAGAUUUUCCAACUGUAAAAUAACCAUUAAAAGUAUAUCAAUACCUGCGAGUGCAAGGCCUGCUUUGUCCACGUUUUUUCUAAGCUAAACACUAAAUGGAAAGAAUCUUCAAGGAACAUUGACUAUUUUCUGAAUAAAAAUCAAGCAUGGCUCAGCAAGAACAUUUGUAUUCCGGUAAGUAAUCCCAGUUCUGGAGAGUCGGCAAAGAAACGUGGACGCCCUUCCGUGGAAUUUUGUUUAAGUAGUGAACGAACGAAACGAAGGAGAACAGAGCAACUACGUACAAAUGUAGACAUGUCGAUGCCGUCUUAUGCCACUCAGAUGAGCCUUCGUUCGUCUAGUAAUUUAGAUGCUGCCAACAUACUAAAAUACAUAACCACAACUACCCCAACAAGAGCUUCGAAAUAUCGGAAGCGUUAUAGUAUGCAAGUCGAGAAGACAAUAUCUGCAGAUGAGGCUUUGUCUACAAUGGUUGAAGCUAAAUUGAGUAGGCAUCACUACAGUGUAAUUAGAUCAACAGCGCAAAAACACAACUGCAAAUUGUAUCCCAGUUAUGAAGCAGUAAGGGAAGCGAAAUCGAAGUGUUUUCCACCGCGUACGAGUAUCACAGUUACUGAGAAAAGUGCAGAAGUGAAAUUACAAAGUCUGUUAGACCACACCAGUUAACGUAUUUUACUAGUCCAAGGAGAAGUGAUACAAAGUUUACAUCCCGAAGAUGUGCGUGCAUUAAGUUUAAUUUGUAAAUGGGGAUGUGAUGGGAGCUCGGGACACAGUGAGUACAAGCAAAGAUUCAACAACGAUUCUGAUUUGGAUGCAAAUGUGUUCUUGACGUCUUUUGUAACACUGCAACUUGUUUCUUCUGAACCGAAAUCUCGGGACGAAAUUGUUAUAUGGAAGAAUCCGAGGCCUACAUCUCCCAGGUUUUGUAGGCCAAUCAGACUGCAGUUUCUCCAUGAAAACACUGAAUGCAUUACUUGAUGUAAGUUUUUGGACAUACGCCAUAGCAAUGGCGUAUGUCCAAAAACUUACAUUAAGUCAUGCACUCCCAUUGCACAAAUCUUUUAAAGAUAACACUGAAUGCAUUGUAAGAGAAAAAAACUAUAUCGAGCAGCAAAUUGAAUCACUUGUUCCACUGACUGUAACAAUAAAUGGGAAUGAGAUAUCGGUUACAUACAAAAUGUUAUUUACCAUGAUAGAUGGUAAAGUGUGUAACGCAGUGUCAUCAACGACAUCUCCGUUGCGUUGCUAUUUAUGUGGAGCAACGUCCAAGAAUUUUAAUGACAUUGAACAGGUCGUUAAGAGGGAGAUAAACGAAAUGCACCUUUCAUUUGGUAUUUCAACAUUGCAUAUGUGGAUUCGUUUAUUUGAAUGUAUAUUGCACAUGUCAUACAAACUAACUAUUGGAAAGUGGCAAGCACGUUCUGAAGCAGAAAAAAUAAUUUCAAUGACCGAAAAAAAUUUAUUAGAGUUAAUUUGAAGUCGGAGUUAGUUCUUGUUGUUAAUUGUCCGAAACCUGGCUACGGAAUCACAAAUGAUGGAAAUACUGCUCAGCGUUUUUUUUUUUUUUUUGGAAACUCGGAUGUGAGUGCAUCAGUUACGGGUGCAGACGUAACUUUAAUAAAAAAUAUUUUACGUAAUCUUGCAAGCAAUUUCAAGUGGUCACGACAUUAAUGUUAAUAGUUUUGAGAAUUAUUGUCUAAAAACUGCAACAACAUACGUAUAAAAAUAUUCAUGGUAUCCCAUGCUGACAGCUGUACAUAAACUACUAAUUCACGGAACCAAAAUAAUAUUGUCCGCUUUGUUGCCAAUCGGACAAUUAUCGGAAGAUGCUCAAGAGGCUAGGCAUAAGGAUAUGAAGAGAUAUCGUGAAGGAUUUUAUAGGAAAUGUUCCAUAAUAAAUACAAUGGAAGAUAAUUUCAGUUGGUUACUCUUAUCUUCAGAUCCGAUGAUUUCUAGUGUACGAAAGCUCCCUCAGAAAAUAAAUGUAGCAAUUCUCGCCAGAUGCCAUACAACUACUGGACUGCCCCCACUCCCUUGAAGCAUCAGGAACGCACGAUGAUUCUGACAGUACAGAUUCUGAUUGAAAAUAUUGUUUACACCGAAAUGUUGCCACAAUGUUGUUGUUAUUCACUGGGCAAAAUAUUUAUUGAGGGGAUGCUUAAGUGCUUAUUUGUGUGCACAAAAUUUUGCAUUAACAACAAAAUAAUUUGACAAGUGUGGACUUCCUACAAACUUUGUUUUUAAGUUUGUGGUAGCUUUUUAAUGUGUAUUUGUGUAUUUUUCAAUUUUGUAUAUUUCUUUUUCUAUUCACCUACUAGGUUCUGUAUUUCUUAGGCCUAUCGUUUCUUGCUUCUUAACUAUUUAAAUACUGUAAAUAGAUUCUCCCGUGAUUAUGUCAAAUAUACUCAAAUAAUGCAAUGUGUACAGUAUUGAAAAUAUAAAUAUGCAAGUAAAAGUAAUUUUUGCUGUUAUCUUUUAUUAAGUAACUUCCAAAUGAGCAAUUUUCAAUACAAUUACAAACAUUUAAUAUGCAUAUUAUAGACUACAAAUUAUAUAUAUAUAUAUAUUGAUAUUUUAGCCUCUAUAAGAUGAACGGCCAUGAACUAAUUGAUUUUAACAUUAAAUUCGUAAUCAGCGACUUCUAAAACCCCUAUAAUGAAGUUUGUAUGACAUAACAUUGGUUUUUGUAUUUUUGACCACGUUUUCGGGCAAAUCUCCCACUGUGCGUCGUCGCUAUGACGGUGGCGAGGAAAAGAACCAUGCUCGACCCACAGGAGACUAUGUAUGCACAGCGGCUGAAUUCCGCACGAUAAAUAGAAACCAUUAUUGAGCCAAAUGACAACCUUAUUUUAUUUAUAAGCGAUGAGGCUCAUUUUCAUCUUAACGGCAUGGUGAAUCAGCAAAACUUUCGUUAUUGGGUCAGUGAAAAUCCAAGACAAAUGUAUGAGAGACCACUGCACAUACCUAAGUUACAGUUUGUGGGCUGUUGUCCGUACAGGUGUUAUCGGUCCAUACUUUUUCCAAGAUGAUAACGAGAACACUAUAACUGUGACCUCGAUAAUUACAGACUUCUUCUUACCAAAACUACGAAUCCUAUCCUACUUGGGUGGUCUCAGCAGGAUGGGACGACAGCCCACACAGCAAGAAUGUCAAUGGCAAUUAUUCGUCCUCUUUACCCUAGUCGCGUCAUUUCCUGGUGUGAUGACAUUGACCUCCUCGAUCCCCUGACCUGUUCAUGUGCGACUGUUUCUUGUGGGGUCACCUCAAGACACGUGAAUACAAACAUAAACCACGUAAACUGAAACUGAGGGAAGCAAUUCUUGUGCAAGUCGCUCAAAUUGACAGAGCUACUUGGAAAGAGUGGAAACCACCUUCCAAGAGCGGCUUGUGAGGUGUAUCGCUAAAAACGGCCGUCACCUGGGAGAUAUUGUUCACAACCACUAAUUUCAUAAAAUAGCAAACUUAUGUGAAACUUAUUCUGUAAAUAAAUUAUUUAUGUAGCAAAAUUUACGAUUUACAAACUUUUCUUUUAAUUCUGUCCUUUCUGCCCCAACCUGUACUUGCUGAAAAUGUUAGCAAUAUCAAAAUUUAAGUUUAGUACCUAUACUAAUUCUCAGGAUAGACAGUGGUAUAUUAAAAUUUAUAAAGCAGUUUAUUUCAGUCGUUAGGUAAAGUUUAGUUGAGCAGAAAUUUCUGUUCUUUUUAUUUGCGAUAACUAGAAACACACUGACAAAAUAUCAAGGUUAUUACUUAUUAACCAUUAAUAUUAUGUCUUAAAAAGAAAACAAAAUGCCUAAAUCGUAACAAACUGCAUUUUCAAAGUAGUUCCAACAUCAUCAUUAAUAUUUUCAAAGUAUUGUGUAGGCCUAUAUAUUGCGGACCUCUAUUAUCCAUUAACCUUGUAAACUUUAUUCCGAAAUUAUUUUGUGCAAAAAUAAUGCAACAUCUCUGUGUGAACUUCCUAAGCCAUGAGUAAGAUUUCGCGUGAAAAGUAGCUUAAAUUAAGGAUAAAGUAACAAACUGUAUCUUGAAACGAAAAAAGAAUGCCAGUAUUACAUGUCUGAUAAUAAAUAACUGUAAUUUCUUGCAUGGCCAUAUAUUAUGUUAUGUCAGCUACAUUCCUUUGCACAGAUUAAAAUUAUUUCAUUUACACCAACGUCAAAUCGGGAAAUGACAGCGUAGCUACGAUAAAACUAGCAGAAAAAAAGGUCCCAUAAACUGCAGGUAACAUAACUCAACGCCUUCUAUUCCAGCUGAACUUCGCGAAGAAUAAUGAAGGUCGUUAUUAAAAUUAGUUUACUAAUAAUUCUGGGUUGCGUAGAUGAUUUGAAUAAAAUCCAUAUUGUAACUACACUUCAAAAAAGUAUUUAUUUUAUUGUUUUAGAAACUCUAAACCAAAAAAUCUCUUUAAGCAGUAUUUUUUUUUCCAAAACUACGAAAACUUAAGAUUUAAGUCAUUGUUGGACGUAGCCAUUGCUGACCACAGGAACAGAUGAUAAAGAAAACAAACUGUACAUACGACAUAAAUUAAUCUUUUAUAAAUGCCAAAGAAUUCAUAGUAAUAUUUAUCGUAAUGAUCAUUUACGAACGAUUUAUAACAGCGCACUGCUUCCACUGAAGAAAAGCAAAAGAAGUUCUGGAAGGUACGAGGUUGGUCAGCUACAUCCAAGCGGCUGACGGCCAGUGACGAAUUUUCCCAGUAAAAGCUCCGAGUCUACUUAAAAGUACCAACACCCGCGCCGUAGUGACCUUGUUCAUGGACGUGACGGCUGCGCUGGACCGAAGGUAUGUAUAUCAACCACUCAACCAGUCACUAGAUCAACGUAAAUUUCGAGUCAUGGGGUGUAUUGAUACAAAGGCAUUAUAAAUAAGAAACAACAAAUGUGUUAAAAAUCGUAAUUCUCCUUAAAGAACAUGAAAGUCCGACAGUGCCAUUCACUCUGAAAGGUUGAACCAGGCCAGCGUGCCACCAGCCAAGUCCUGAGGGGAGUGCCCGUGGACGCAUGAAGAGCUCCUGGAACACCGCGCGGGGCCGAACUGCGCCGGAGAUGUCACCGGUACAGCCGACCAGCGUCCACGAAGAGCGAUCUUCAGCUUCACCUCACCGAGAGACAUCUCCGUGGGAUCUUCCGUUCGUCACCUCCUCCCUACUGGUGGUACCUGCCUAUGAGAGCCCAUCGUGCUACUGCCCAUCGUGCUACCAUGAGCUUGCCUGGCGGCUUCCUCGUCGUGUGGAGGCUCGAUGCUGUCUCGCCGCUUCUGGGUCUUGGAGAGCGACCGUGUUGAUUCCGGCUGAGUGCUUCCCGCACCGCCGUGAGUCCAUGGCUGCCCCUAGCCCUUGCUUGACGGGUCUUGGACAUCGUAGCUGACCCCUUCGUCAGCCUGCUAAGGCACUACGACUUGGUGCCCCUGCUGGAGUCCCCUUCCAUGCCUGGGUGGUUGCGACUCGCGGGACCGCCCUGCUCCGAGCCCUUGAUCUGGGCUGAACACCAACUUCAUAUCUGGACUUUUUACUCCGUACUCCGUAUCAGCCGCUGGCUGUCGUCUAAUGCUGUUCCGAAGACCUGUGUAGCAUGUGAAUAAGUUCGAAACCAUCUCGUUGAUCGCCGCUGCGAUCCUGAAGCUUGCUGUUUGAUGCUCUCUCCAGUCUCCGAUUUCAACGUCAUGAACUUUCUUCAUCGUGUGGAUCUUCUGGCUCUCCGGGCAGGGACACUUUAGGGAAGGGUCACUGUACUCGAGAAACUUGCAAAUAAUAUAUUCUAAUACUGCUAAUUUUUUAUGCACAACUUCUAUUUUCUUACUCAUCAUGCACUCUAUAACCUACAAACUAGGCAACAGUAAUGUAAACAAUCAAUAAAAUAAAGCAAAGACUUUGCAGACCGGCUGUAGGAAUGCAAAGAGAUUAAAAAUUUUGGUGGAACACAUUUACUUUGCACUUUUCAGUUAUAUGCAAAGUGCGAAUUGAAAAGUUGCAAAGUUUAUUGGUGGAAUAGGCCCCAGGACGCCGUAACCAUUAAAAGUACACUUAAACGUAACUGGUUUUAUUGACACGUCACAAGAUACAGUACUUCACCUGGUAAAGUACAUCUUCACGUAACUGGCCGUAUCAUCAUCUACCUUUUCAUCUCCGCACACACGGCCCUCGAUUGGCAGUCCUACUGAUUCACGUCUAGCGGAAUUCCUGAGGACUACCCCACCGAGGGUCGCAGGCUACCCUGAGAUUGAUAGUGACGACGAUGAAGACACGUGGCGAAUCUAGCUGUUAAGGAGAGUGGUAUUCCGGACAGUGAGAUACAAGGAUAGCUUACUAGUUACUUAUUAAAUGGCUUAGACAAAACACUGAAAUUAUACACUACACAUGGCUGAUGGCGGAAACUAAUACUAACGGUUAAACCCGGAAAUAGAGCUUACCAUUGAAAUGUCCUGGAGAUCGGGAUGAUACUGAGACGGCUAUACCGCCCAGGGAAAAUUAAUAUAAUAUCGAGAGUUCGUUCUCGAUGUGGCGUGGGGCCACGUUAGCUGGGUGCGAGCACAGUGGUACCUGACAUGGAAAACUCUCUCGCGACCGCGGCAUGUCCCAGUACCUGAUGUGUUAGAGAGUCAAUGUUCGCUUUAGGUGCAAUGCCGCCCCGCGUGGGCAAAGUUCAAUUCUCCUGUCGGAGUGGUUAAGGCGUGAAGCACUGGCACCUCGGCGAGCUGCCCAAACAAUAGAAAUACAUAUUACACUAAACGACGCGUGGACGAAUUACACAUAUUUAAUAAAAAAAAACGUAUGACACGUCGUAUGGUUGAUUUAGGACCGGUCGUGGAGCGGAUGAAAACGAAUUUUAAAAUAUUACUUAUUGAAGCUACAUGCUGAUUUUGGCGCGAGAGAUGAAGGCUCCACGCGCGCAGAGCUGCCGGCCCUGAUGAGUGCUGGAAGGCGACUGACGAAUCUCCCUGGCAACCCGGCCAGGGAGGGGGCGAUUUCCCACAGAAAGCUACGGAGCAUGUGAAGAUGUUGAUGGCCAGUUUUGUGAUAUCAAAACAUUUACAUUAACAUUAAUUAAUUGUUUAGGAAAAUUUGAUACAUCAAAAGUUUUAGUUCAUUAUUUUAAUUAGAAAUGCAUGUGCCCUAUGUCUCAGCUGCGCAUUGCCACACCCGGCCGGGCGCUUCGUACAACAUAGCCGGCCAUGACUUACGUCAUGCCGUUCGAUGCACUGCCCUCCCUACUCUACUCUGCAUGCGCGGGUAUGUUCGUAGCGGACAGCCUAAGUUUCACCCCCAUAGAUCGACAUUAACGAACAGUUCCGAAGUACGUCGCUCGAUCGGGUAACUUCGGUAGUAGAAAAGCGCGGGCUAUAGCUACAGCUUUUGAACGUGAACAAUGAUAUCGUUUUUUGAUCUAGCAAGAGAUAAAUUGCAAAAUUGUACCAAAAGUGAUAAAGAUAACACUAUUCCGGGAUAUGUAGACAGUGAAAUCGGUUAUAACAAUUUCUUUGAUGCCUUAAAAAGUGCAGGUUACUCGUUCUGUUAGAAGUAGUGCAGCACAGGAGCAAUUCAAAAUAUUAGAUUUAAAUUUUCUAUAGAAGACGAAGCAAGCAACAUUAAAAUGUUUAUCUUGCUUGCUUCAAAUCCUCAACCCUUAUAUCUGUCAAUGAAGGAAAUUAAUUGAGCUUUCAGCUUGGUGACCUCUAGAUCAUUACAAAAAAAUGAAUGGCUAUAAAAUGCUAAUGAUGUGACAGAAUGGAUGGGUGAAGUAACGUAAGAACUCUGAGAAAACCAACUAACAACUGCAAUGUUUGCUAUGUUCCCCACUAUCAAAAGAUCCAUUAAUGACCCUGCUGAGAAUCAAACCCAGAUCACUUUGGUGACAGAAAAGUGAGCACUUAAACACAGAGACCUAAUGUUUGCCUCUAAUGACCACAUUUAUAAGACCACAAACCUAAUGCUUAUUACCUUUUCCACCAUUAAUUUAAUUACCUUACCUUUACAGAUCUUAAGCAGCAGGUAAUGACCAGUAUGCUGAAUGAAGUCUUUGAGAUUAAGGGCUUCUUAUGAGUAGGAAUGUUUGCAAUUUUUGAAACAGCCCUUUUCGGAAUUUUAUUAUUCUACUACUGUUAAAAGUCUCUUCUCUACAAAUUUGCUUUGUUCUCUGUUACUAAUUAUUAUUAAUGUAGGGCAUCCUCCAUCCAUUGCAUACCUUUAGUGAACAUAUUAACAUAUUAUAUUUUUACUAGCUGACCCGGCAAACAUUGUUUUGCCAUAUAAAUUAUUUCUAGGGAAUUCCUAGCUGCAGUACCCAGCGCUGCCCGGGCUGAACACAGGGUGAAGGGGACCUUUUUAGAAAUCAGAUGUAGUUAGUAACUUUUAUUGUCUUCUUAAUUUGAAUGUCAAUUGUGCAAAAUAAUUUAUAUCACUUUCAGAUCCCGACAGACGUUCUGCCAGUGUAUAGUUAUUUACCUGUAUAUAUCGAAAAAUUGGUGGUCUGUAUGCAAUCUAGACUUUAUAAAGCACUAUAGAAAAAAGCUGAAAAAUAAGAGAUUACUAAUAUUGAAAUGAUUCCAUUAUCAAGCUAAUGCUCAGCAUGCAUUACAAUGCCUCAUUUAGUUUUUUUUUGUAAUAUGUUUAAAGUAGUUACACAUAAACAAAUCAUCCAUUCAUAUCUCUAAAUAUAUAUUUAUCUCUAUUUACAUCUAUAUAUGUAUCUCUCUAUCUCUAUUUAUCUCUUUAUAUCUACAUAUGUACAUAUAUAAUUACCUCCCACUAUCUCUAUCUCUUCUAAAUAUAAAUCUCUAUAUAGCGCUAUGCAUCUAUAUAUCUAUUUAUCUAACCCAUUUCAUUCUCUAUACCUCGCUCUAUCUCAACUUAUCUCUCUGUCUCUCUCAUUCUCACUCUGUAUAUAUAUCACUCUAUCUCUGACUCUCUUUUAUAUUUAAAUAAAUUGUGUCAUGCAUGUGCACUUAUACAACAAAAACAGACGAAGUGCCGUUAUAUAAUAUGAAAUAAACACAUUUUUUUGAAACGAUUUGUGCUCCAACUAUUGCAAAAUAGUUAUACCGUCUGAGAAACCUUCACGGGCAUGCGCAUAACAACUCACCAAAAUUGCAUCGCAAUUGGAUGAAUGGUAUAGGAACAUAUACGGCACAAACAAACGAAAAUUAAAGACAUGACAAACGCAUCAAACGAUGGUGCGUUUAAAAUUCAAGGCAAUUAACGCUAUCUAUUGACGAAGUUAAGAACAAAACUGUUAUCAGCUCCUUUAUUUUGCUAGCUGCUGCGAGCUCCACUAAGCGGGCUGGUCUCACCAAGGAGAAAAAUGUGAAUUUGCCAGACCUUACUAUGUGUAUGAUCGUGUGGCAGACAUAAAGAAAUGACACUCACUCACUAUUUGUAUGUCUAUGACCUAUGAUUUUUUUUGUUAUAAAAUGAAAUUAUCACUUUUUCACUCCCUUAGGGAUGGCAUUUCAUAUUAAUAUGUGGUCUAUGAGUUAAUCCAGGUAAUGAGCUCGCUGUAGGCGGGGAAGGUUGAUCAAGUGUUAAUUGAUCAGCUAUCGACCGGGGUUGAAAAAUAUAAAAAUAUAUUAAAAAUUAAGGGUUGAUGAUAGAAGGGUGAAAAUUUAGGGUUGUAUGUAUUUUCUAAUGCCACAUUAUAAAAAAAAUAAAAUAAAAACUUUUGUCCAAAAAUUUAAAAAAAAAUGUUAGGGGUGGAUUACCCCUAACAUUUAGGGGGAUGAAAAAUAGAUGUUGGCCGAUUCUCAUAGAUACCGGAUAAGCACAAAAAAUUUCAUCAAAAUCGGUCAAGCCGUUUCGGAGGAGUAUGGCAACGAAAACUGUGACACGAGAAUUUUAUAUAUAAGAUUCUCCUCGCUGGUUCUGUAUGUUCAACUACAGCUGAUUCAGUUGUGUCUUUAUAUGUUUAAUUAUUUAUUUGUUUAUUUAUUACCAUAGUUUUACAUGGCAAACAAUGCAAAACUUCAAUGCAGUUUAUCCAAAAAUUGGAAGUAUAUCAUAUUUUGAAGGUUUGCUAUGUAACAAAUCAUUAGGUAUUUAAAAAUUUAUUGUAAUGUUUAAAUUCAAGAAAAGUUUUCUGAUGUAUGUUCUGAGAAAAAGAAACAUUUAUGGAAGCUUACUGUAACACCAAAAAUGAAGUAUGAUGUUACUGAUAUCAUUUGUGUUUGAUUUAAUUAAUUAUUAGUGUUAAAAGUGCAUUUGCAGUGCUCAUUUCUGAUCCCGUUCACAUACAAGCAUAAGUGUGAUAACUAAAAUGAAGUAUGGCAAUUUAAGAGUUAAAUGUUAUGUUUAAUCUCUUUCCCUAACGGUUUGAUAAAUAUUUUAAGUGCAAAUGUGCAGUUUGUAGUUCUUAUGUUAGAUCUAAUUCAUAUUAUACAGGCUAAUGUGCAUUGUUUUAUGAAUAAUAGUGUUGUAACAAACUGUCAGAUUAAAUUGUUUUGUUCCAAAAUAGAGCAAUGCUCUUUGGAACAUUGCAGAAAAUAAAAUUUUAAGAAUUACAAAGUCUAGCACAAAUAUUAAUGUAAAUCAGCUCCAAGACUUAAGUUGUAAAUGUAAAAUUAGGCCUAUGUGAUUACAAUCUUAUGGCAUUAAAGGUCUAGUAAGCCUACCUACAUUUGUAUUUUAAAUAAUCCAAGUUCAUAAACAUUUAAAGAAAUUGCUGCAAAUAUUUCAGUUCAAUGAACUGAUUUAAAUAAUAAAUUAUAGGUUGAAAGAUAAUCUAGUAAUGAAGCCAAUAGUAUUAUUAAUUAAAAUCUUGUCUGUAAUCUCAGAAGUCAGAGAAGUUGAACCUUCAUGCAAAACCCAGAGCUGGUAGGCAAUAAUUUUUUUAAUUUACUAAUCAUUUUCGGGAUUUUUUUUUUUAUCAAAGAUUGAUUAAUUUACAUUGAUUGAUACCAAACAUAUACAAGAACUUCAGAAUACAGAUUUUCCUUCAUAUCGAAAUAUUGUUAUUUAAAAAAAAAUAUUUUCUUUUAUUGAUAAUACACUUAUUGGAAUUGGCUCUAGAAUAUAAUAGUGAAUAAUCUGUACUUGUCUAUGAUUUGUUUUUUUUAAUGGUUGUUGGCUAGUGUUAUGUAUGUAUGUGCACUAUAUGCAAAUGGUAGUUCUGAUAGUAUAUGUUCAUAAUAACUAAUAUACUGAUAUCAGACUAGCUCAAAAUUGGUCUAUAUUGUACAUAUAUGAAUACUUUAUAAGAUAUGUAUUGAAAUAUUAUUUGAGUUAAGGAAAAUUGUUACUGUAGAGUGCAGAUGAUUGAUUGAUUAUUGAAAAAAAAAAUUCCUUCUGACAACCAUUAA